UGAGUAACCCAUCAUCAAAGCUGAUUAUAUGGUUCAUGACACUCUAUAACUAAAUUUCUUUAUGAUAGUUGGGAUGAGGAGGUGUUUUUGUGAGAAAAUAAUAUAUUAUAUUUUUUAUCACAACCAAAGAUUUAUUAACACCAAGGAUGUUUAUAUUUUAGGGUGAAUUAAUUGCAGGCUGAGUUUUAUUUAUAUGUAACAUUGAAUAAGUAACAUUUAUUUAAAUAUACAUCUGAGAUAAAGAGGGGAGGUACUACAACAACAAAGUAAGCAAAUGUGGUAUAAAACGUUUAGUCUGCAGAACGAAACAGCCCUAAUAAACAAAAUUCUAAGGGCUGUUCAUUUCUGAAGACUAGAAGUUUUAUUACACAUUUGUGAGGUCUCACCACAAAAUGAGUCUCAUGGUUAGAAAAUAAAAAAAAUUAAGUUCGUUAUAUUUGGUUAGAUUACAUUAUAAUAUUUAAUUUGGUCUUUGAAUGGCUUCCCUAGGAUAAGUAGAUCCAGAGACGUUAGCAUUUCGUGGGGAGUCCUCAAAUUUGCUUACAUUGUUGUUGCCCUCUCCUCUUUAUCUGUGAUGUAUAUUACAUAGAUGUUAUUUAUCCCAUGUGCUUUGUCUUGAUGAAAUCCAUUGUGUGGACAAACGCUAGAGCAAAUACACGUUAAAUUUUCAUAUAUUGUUCUAUAGCAGACUAAUAGGCUAUGCUUUUCAUUCAUCAUUACUGCUUUUGAAAUCCGUGAUUGUACUGUCGUGAACAAAGAAGUGUUGUGAUUAUAUAUCAUUCAUGACACUCUAUAACUAAAUUUCUUUAUUAUAGUUGGGAUGAGGAGGUGUUUUUGUGAGAAAAUAAUAUAUUAUAUUUUUUUAUCACAACCAAAGAUUUAUUAACACCAAGGAUGUUUAUAUUUUAGGGUGAAUUAAUUGCAGGCUGAGUUUUAUUCAUAUGUAACAUUGAAUAAGUAACAUUUAUUUAAAUAUACAUCCGAGAUAAAGAGGGGAGGUACUACAACAACAAAGUAAGCAAAUGUGGUAUAAAACGUUUAGUCUGCAGAACGAAACAGCCCUAAUAAACAAAAUUCUAUGGGCUGUUCAUUUCUGAAGACUAGAAGUUUUAUUACACAUUUGUGAGGUCUCACCACAAAAUGAGUCUCAUGGUUAGAAAAUAAAAAAAAUUAAGUUCGUUAUAUUUGGUUAGAUUACAUUAUAAUAUUUAAUUUGGUCUUUGAAUGGCUUCCCUAGGAUAAGUAGAUCCAGAGACGUAAGCAUUUCGUGGGGAGUCCUCAAAUUUGCAUACAUUGUUGUUGUCCUCUCCUCUUUAUCUGUGAUGUAUAUUACAUAGAUGUUAUUUAUCCCAUGUGCUUUGUCUUGAUGAAGGCCAUUGUGUGGACAAACGCUAGAGCAAAUACAUGUUAAAUUUUCAUAUAUUGUUCUAUAGCAGACUAAUAGGCUACACUUUUCAUUCAUCAUUACUGCUUUUGAAAUCCGUGAUUGUACUGUCGUGAACAAAGAAGUGUUGUGAAAUUAAAUGUGCUCGUCAAGUCAAAAGUCUUACGUAAACAUAAAAGGGAGAUACAAAAAACAACCUGCAAACCUAGAUGAUAUAUCUUUGACGUAUGAUAAAUGGAUUUUCAAAGUUGCAUAUAAACGCACACUGCCGUAAUUAUCACAACAUUGUUAUUAAAGCCAUAUGAAAAUAUUUAUUCAGUGAUUUAUGUGGUUUUUAUCUCAUUUGGUUCUUGUAAUUCAAUGAUUCAAACGUACAUAUGUGUAUGUGGGACAGAAUGCGUUUUUGUGGGACAAGCCCAUAAUCCCGACUCUGUUCUGGUUAGUCCAAUGUAUGUAAUGUCUUUACAGUACUGGUUUAUAAAAGUUAACUUGUAUCACGUUACAUUGUCAUAUUUCUACUUAUAUACUGUAAAGAUUAUACUCGCGUAUAAGGCAACCGUCGAGUAUUUUUUGUAUGUUGGAAUCCCUACAUUUUUUUCUGCUUUUCAUGGUCUUAACACCAAAUCUAGCAGACUAGAAAUGGAGCCACAUGCGAGGCUAAUCUUCAUUUUAUGAGAUUUUAAAUGUUCAUCAAAUGCUUAUUUACAUUUAGUUUUGUUUGGGGUGGGCUGUUCUUGAGGGAAGUAUUGAUCACAGUGGAGGGUAGUUAGCACUUAGUAACCGCAAGGAAUAAGCGCUAUAGAAGUACCUAGUAAAAAGUAGUAGUUCAUUGUACUAGUAAAUUUGUGUGUUAUGGAUGAUCUGCGCAUAAGACGAACAUAAUUAAAUAAAUCUAAAAUUUGUAUGUCUUGCAUAUAAGACAACCACUUUUUUGAUCGUAAUUUGCUAUUUUAAGCCUCGACUUGUACGCAAGUAUAUAUGGUAGUAGUGAUGAAUUUGUUGGUCCAUCGAGAUGCGUGUACUUAUGGAUAUUUGAACCAAUGUGAACCAAUACUAAACAAACUGUAAUUAAUUCGCUCCAUUGUCAGAAUAUUGCCAUGGAACCCAUUCAAAUGAAAGUCUUGAAUACUUUUCAUAAAAAUGUAAGUUAAGUGUUGUUAAUGUUCCAUCAUAAAAGCUUGCUGAUAUUAAAAGCAAUUUCCUGUCAGUUGUACACUACCCAUUAAGGCACUGUAAUUAUCGUAAGGAACUCUAUACUUUAAUUGCUAAUAAAUUUGGUAGAAAAUGUAGACUAUUGUACGUCUAUUCAAAUUAGAAAAGAAUUAUUAAGCACAUUUUGUUUGCUUGUUUUGCACCUUAUGGUGCAGUUGUUCUAUUCUAAUCCAAGGAUACCAUAAUAACAUAAAACUUGAUUCAUUAAAAAUAAAUACUGGUGGAUUAGAUAUUCAAACAAAAUAUUUAUUAUCAAAAUAAAAUAGAAAGCAUUUGCUCAAAAUGGUAUUGCAAAACUACUGUAUACUAUUUUCGGUAUAUGUUAAACACAAGAUAUAUUGAAUUGCUUUCUAGGCAUAAAAAAAUUUAUUGGUAGCAAAAAUGUUCAUGUAAUAUUUCAACUGAAUUAUUGAGAAUCAGCGUGCUUACUGUAGAUAUGAUUGUAUGUGAAAAAGUUGACAGCUAAUUUGUUUACAUUCCAGAACAUGAGGAAAAUAUAUUUAAAAAAUGAUAUUUUGGUCUUAGAAGGUGAUAAGAAUUGAAUUCCGUCCAUGAAUAUGUAAAUAGUAAGCAGAUUCUUUAGCACUGUCCAGACUUUCAAAUGUGCCUAAAUAUGGUCGCAACAUUACCAUAUAUAGGCACAUCAAGACUAUAUAUGGGCAUACAGCAGUUUUGAUGUCAAAGAGGCACAGCCUUAGUUUGGUAAGAAUCACCUUGAUUUGAAUAAACUUCAUAUUUCUAUUUCUAUCUUUUAUUUUUUAAUAAAUUUUUAAAAUUUGAGUUUUACUUAUUUUUAUUUGAUUUAAAGUGCAUUGCUGAAGAUGCUACUAUGGUAAGGUUUUCAAUAAACUGUACAGUUUCAAUCACUUAUUUAACAGUGCAAGAAAGAUCUAAGACAAAUUUAAUUGUUAAAUCAGUGGCGGUUCCAAGGAAUUCAAAAUAGAGGGGGGCCCAGAAAGGGACUAUACCACCUCAGCCCCAUUAUGGUUGGGGUGAGAUAAAAACAUUUAUGAUAAUGGCACCUCCAGACUUCAAAUGAGUCUCAUUCCUGAUGAUGACAUUUAUUGUAUCCUAACACGAUGGUGUGCAUUUCAACACUUGGAGUAUGUAUUAUACUUUCUUAUCUCAGACUUGAAUUUUAAAUAAUUUAAAAUAAUUUUGAAAAUUUAGAGCUAGUCCCCUCCCCCUUAAACCCGCCACUGAUUAAAUUGUACUGUACUAUCUUGGUGACACCAUAAUGCCAUGUGGUACCCUUGCGUUAUUGAGCAAAGCAGCCCCUCCUCAGCCAACCUACAGUUUAGAUAGCUAUUUAACUUUGCAUUGGUAUUUGCAUUGUAAUGUGAUAAUGCACACUAUAUUCCUUCUUGUACCUUUCAUAGCAUA